rnacentral:rRNA from 1 species
ACGCUGGCGGCGUGCCUAACACAUGCAAGUCGAGCGAGGAGAUUCCUUCGGGAUGAUCCUAGCGGCGGACGGGUGAGUAACACGUGGGCAACCUGCCUCAUAGAGAGGAAUAGCCUUCCGAAAGGGAGAUUAAUACCUCAUAACAUUGCAGUUCCGCAUGGAACAGCAAUUAAAGGAGCAAUCCGCUAUGAGAUGGGCCCGCGGCGCAUUAGCUAGUUGGUGAGGUAACGGCUCACCAAGGCGACGAUGCGUAGCCGACCUGAGAGGGUGAUCGGCCACAUUGGGACUGAGACACGGCCCAGACUCCUACGGGAGGCAGCAGUGGGGAAUAUUGCACAAUGGGGGAAACCCUGAUGCCAGCAACGCCGCGUGAGUGAUGACGGCCUUCGGGUUGUAAAGCUCUGUCUUCAGGGACGAUAAUGACGGUACCUGAGGAGGAAGCCACGGCUAACUACGUGCCAGCCGCCGC